CCUACGGGUGGCAGCAGUGGGGAAUAUUGCACAAUGGGGGAAACACUGAUCCAGCGACGCCGCGUGAGUGAAGAAGGAUUUCGGUAUGUAAAGCUCUAUUUGCAGGGAAGAAAAUGACAGUACCUGACCAAGAAGCCCCGGCUAACUACGUGCCAGCAGCCGCGGUAAUACGCAGGGGGCAGGCGUUAUCCGGAUUUACCGGGGGUAAAGGGAGCGUAGUCGGUUCUGUAGGACUGGAGGUAAAGCCCGGGGCCCAACCCCGGGACGGCUUUUGAUACUGUGUAACGGGAGUACAGGAGGGGCAGGCGGAAUUCCUGGUGUAGCGGUGAAAUGCGUAGAUAUCAGGAGGAACACCGGCGGCGAAGGCGGCCUGCUGGACUGAAACUGACGUUGAGGCUCGAAAGCGUGGGGAGCAAACAGGAUUAGAUACCCGGGUAGUC
rnacentral:rRNA from 1 species